GACGAAUGCUGGCUGCGUGCUUAACACAUGCAAGUCGAACGGUGAAGGAGAGCUUGCUCUCCGGAUCAGUGGCGAACGGGUGAGUAACACGUGGGCAACCUGCCCCUCACUCUGGGAUAACGCCGGGAAACCGGCGCUAAUACCGGAUACGACCAGGCGCGACAUCUCGCCUGGUGGAAAGAAUUUCGGUGAGGGAUGGGCCCGCGGCCUAUCAGCAUGUUGGUGGGGUAACGGCCCACCAAGGCGACGACGGGUAGCCGGCCUGAGAGGGCGACCGUCCACACUGGGACUGAGACACUGCCCAUAAUCCUACGGGAUGCAACAGUGUGGAAUUUUGCGCAUUGGGCGAAAGCCUGACGCAGCGACGCAGCGUGAGGGACGACGGCCUUCGGGUUGUAAACCGCUUUCAGCGGGGACGAAGCGAAAGUGACGGUACCCGCAGAAGAAGCACCGGCUAACUACGUGCCAGCCGCCGCCGUAAAAC
rnacentral:rRNA from 1 species